GUACCGGACGUGUGUGUCGCGUUUAAACUAAAAUAAAUUACGUAUAUAUUUCUAUAAUGUAGUAUGGUGUGUUCUCUUAUAUUUAUAAAAUACUUAAAUAAUUCAUUUGAUACAUAUAUGCAGUGAUAAGCAUAUGCAAUGCAAUGUCUAUUAUUUACAACAAACAAAAAUGGGACUUAUUUAGUUAUAAAAGAUAUCAAUUGCGAGAUUUGUGUCACGUGGGCGACGCAAGACGAGCGGGUAGGCGCGCGAGAGGGGUCCCCGGCUCACGAGCCACAAAGCGCGGCAACUCCGUCCAGCUCCGUUGUAAGCAAACAGGUUUCGUCCUGUAUCGUAGGUACUUACCACGCAUAAUAGCGUGCAGUCUCCUAUGCCAUAAAAGGAACAAAAUAAACAACCGAAAAUAUUAGCGUAAAAAUGCCAUUCGCACUUGCCCCAUCCCGCACGCAGAACAUUGAUGACGAUGACCGCCGCACACCAAUGCCAUAAGUCGAAAACAGAACGACUACGGAGUGGCGGCGGCAGCAAAACAUUCCAUAUUUUCGCUGCGGCGAAUUUGAAACUGCCACGGAAUGCGGCGGUGCGACAGCGCGGCAGGACUAGCGACCAAGCUGACGCUCUGGUGAAAGCUGUCUUUACAUCCCGGGACCAUAUCAACUCGUCAGCCAAAUAAGACGGGAUUCUGUAUUUUAUAACCCCAAACAGAACUGUAGCUAAGUGUAGAUCUCUUCGCAUUUUCAUUUUCAAAAUAUUUGCGUUGUUUAUGUAAGGGGUUACGUGCGUGCGUGGUGGUAUAUCAAAGCAAAACCUUGCGCAGGCGUUCUGCACUCGCUGAAUUACUUGUUCCGUGCGCUUCAACAGUCGCGGCCCAUACACCACGUCCAUAUAAUUAAAUUUUGACAGAACUAGUGAGUCACACAACUUAAUGCGAAUGUCGGUAUUAAGGUAAUUUCUGAUGUUAUAUAAUACCUUUAACCUAUAGAAACAAUUUUUGACGAUGCCUAACACAUGAUUCUCAAAGUGAAGUGUUUCAUCCAUAAGGAGUCCAAGAUUCCGAGCCUCAGUUACUCGCUCAAUGUUCACGCCCCUGAUCGCCAAAGUAACGUUACGACUAUUAAUUUUCGCUAUUUGAUUUUUUGUACCCAGCACCAUAUAUUUUGAUUUACAGCCAUUUAGCACUAAUGAAUUUGAAUCUGACCAGGAGGCUAUACGUUCUAGAUCCUCGUUUAACUUAUCCACGGCUUCAGGAGUAUCACAUGGUUUACAAGAUAUAUAAAUCUGUAUAUCAUCAGCGUAAAUAUGAUACUUGCAGAAUUUUAUUUGAUCUAUGACAUCCGCGCUGUAGAUUAUAAAGAGAAUAGGGCCCAAAAUUGAACCUUGUGGUACUCCGCGCGUAACGUCACGUGUUUUUGAUUGUAAUUUAGAACCACUAAGAUCAGAAAUUUCAACACACUGAGACCGAUUUUUCAGAUAACUGUCAAACCAUUUGAUGGUGGAGUCAGCAAAUCCGUAAUAAUGCAGUUUAGCUAGUAGUAGGCUAACAUUAAUGCAGUCAAAGGCUCUAGAGAAAUCCAGCAGUGUUAACAAGGUGCCCUGUCC